rfam:Oryza sativa (indica cultivar-group) chromosome 3, whole genome shotgun sequence.
AAAGAGUGUAGUUUUGUACUUUUCAUGUUCAACGUUUGACCGUCCGUUUUAUUUGAAAAAUUUUUAUGAUUAGUAUUUUUAUUGUUGCUAGAUGAUAAAAUAUAAAUAGUAUUUUAUGUGUGACUAAUUAUUUUUAAUUUUUUUAUAAAAUUUUCAAAUAAGACAGACGAUCAAACAUUGGACGCGGAAACUUAGCAAUGCACUUAAA